rnacentral:lncRNA from 1 species
UUCAAAAAAAGCAUAUUUUGAUUAGAUAUGAACUAUAAAAUAACAUGUCUCUUAUUUUAUCACAUAUGACAAGUUGACUUUGUGUUGAGGAGACAGGGACAUAAGACAUUAGAGUCUAAACAAGCCCACCUGCUGGGACCUUAAUCAAAUAUGUGCAAGCUGUAAACUAGCUGAAGUCCAAUCUGAUUGGUUGAUUACCAGGUGCCAAUAAUUAGCCAGUAUAAAAGCUAUCAUUCACGUCAUCUCCAUGAUAGAGUGCUGUCCAUCUAAACCAGGCGUGCAGCUCAAUUAUGGCAGGUGAAGAUGGAUGGUGCUGCAGGUCACCUCAAGCUGUCGCAGUCAUUUUGCUCCUGUACUCUUUAGCCCCGAGUUUAACUUGUUUUAGCUUGCGAGGGCUGAGCAAAAAUGCUAAACAGGACAAGGUAGUUGAUGAGGCGGCAGUGAGGACAGGAACCGUUCUUUUCAAUGGGAAAGAGCUGAACUCUGGGUCAGGAUCUGCCUCUGCUGCUGCCCCACGUAACAAUGGUUUGCCGCAUGUUGAUUCCGAUCAAUCAGAAGAGAUGUUUGCACAGGCAUCACAGCUGAAGGAAGUCAUGGCCAAUGAAGCAGCAUGGAAGCGAUUGAACCCUACACUGCAUUGUGGACAAACCAAGAUGAAGUUUAAAGCCAUGGGACCUGGAGCGGUGGAUUUACAGCUAAAUAUUGGCAAUGAACGUCCCCUUCCUCUGAUCCAGUUGCCGGAAACCUGUGGCUACUUGAUGCAGCAGAAUGCGUUUGGUCUUGUUUUGGUUGUUCCUUAUGACGGCUGCAAUGUUAUACAAGAGAAUGGAGACUAUGUUGUCCCAAUGAGAUGGUUGGAUACCCCAGUGACAUUAAUGUGCCCCAUCUCGCAAAGUCCAGAUGCAACGACUCCAAAACCUCAGCAUGCCUGGAAACAUCCUUUACCUCACAGGCCCUUGAACUCUUAUCGUCCUAAACGACACGCAAUUCACCCCCUUUCCAUGUACGAUCCUAGCAGUCAAUACUAUGCCCAAUUGUAUUACUAUUACAUGUAUAUGAGUCAAGCCCUUGCCACUGCUCCUCCUGCAACUACUGCGCCUCCUGCAACUACGACUCCUCCUGCAACUACUGCUCCUCCUGACACAACCACAGAGAAGCAUCCUGCUUACCCUCCCUAUAUGUAUUACUCCUACUACCCUUACUACUCCUACAACUACCCUCACUACUCCUACAACUACCCUCCAGCAGAACAGUUACCAUCAAACAGCUCAGAAAUUUACUACUACCCAAUCAUCCAGCAUUUCUACGGAAGGCCUCAAUACCCAAAUAAUCCAAGCGAACCGAUGCAAACAACUCCGCAGCCUCCUGCUUCCACAACUAAGCCAGGUGACACGGUUAAACCAAGCUCUACGGCAAAUCCAACUUCUGCUUCUACGGCAAAGCCAACAAAAGCGUCUUCUCCCUCCACAACAACGACUAAAGCAUGUUCCCGCACUACACCAACCAGCAGCAGUGGCGUCUAUCCAGGCACAAUGAAACCAUUUGUUGAGUACUAUGCCCUCCCCUUCACUCCUUUUGUUUCAUACAAAUACAAUAAGGCUGCCAAACUCCGAGAUUACCAAAAGUAUAUGCCUCAAGAUGUGCCAUGGUUUCCCCACUUUGCAGGACAAGACAUUCCUCAAAUUGACUGGAAACAUUUCCAACAUAAACAAGUUUGAAGUCCUAAGGGGGCUGGUUUCCUGUAAUCCCGAGCCUUCAAUAAAGAUGUUUACUUGGAACUUUUUCUUAUUCAAGCUUUGAGUGUCAUGCAGGGGUUUCUCCUCUUGUGCUAAUCUUGUUGGCACAACCCUGGGGUUGGACAGUGGUAGGACAUGCAAUUCAACAUCAGGACUUUAAUCAAAAUCUCUCCUAGUUGAUGGGAAGUCUUGAAAGGUCUAGUAACAUCUGAUGGUGCCUAAAUUGUGGUUGAACUCCUUGGUAAUGGGCAAAAUACCCAAAUCUGAGCACUCAAUGGAUAAACUAAAGCAGAGGUUGCUAAAUACCUGAGCAAUGGGCUAAAAGUAAAAUGCGUUCAUUUUUGCAAGUUACAGGUGAACAAAUUACUUCUGCACAAUAACUUUGUAGUUUGCUAGUGGUUUUCCUUAAUCAAAAGACUUAACCUUUAUUGGAAUUCUUUUAAAUUAAAAAAACCUGCCAACCCCCCUUCAAAGUCUUUCCUGUCUCUAAUUUUAUUUUGUGGUAUUACUCUGCUCUGUUCCCUUGUGCAGAGUGCACACAACCCAUUCUGUCCGUUCCUAUAUAUUUCCACAUGGCAGUAUCUCCUCCGGUUACCCUGUGGUAAGACGCACACGAUAUCCUCACCACUGAAAUGAAUCCCCACGUGACAGAGGCAUGCAAUGCUGGUCUCUUUAAAAGCACGAACACUGUCUGUAUUUUUCAGUUUCUAGGGCUCUGAGUGUUCGUUGGCAAGAAUUGGAGCACUAAGCUCAGGACUAAACUAUUCUGCAGAGGCGCAAUAAAUCCUUUAAUCCAUCUGUUCAGCAUUGGGAACAGCAGUUGUCUUUUGCAGCGCUGUUGUCGUUUUGCCAUAAUUGCUGCUUUUGCACUUUUACUUCAAGCAUCUCAUGGUGGCAUGUCAACAAUGUUGGUGAGUGCAAUGUACAUGUGCUAUAUAUUUUACAUUUUGUGCUUAGUUGUUGAACUGCCAUGAUUUUUUGGUUCAGAAAAUUACGAGGAAUGAGCUUUGAUUUUUGUUUACAUGGAAUCAUUAAAACAUGAACAGAACAAGAACAGUGUCUGCAUAUGAAAUGUUUUAAACUUGAAAUAUUUUAACAUGGUUUCAAUUAGUUGAUUUUCUCAAUUACAGGAAAAUUAAAGACAUUGGGAUUAACGUGGAUCAGCAUUGUAAUGGUCGAUUUUUUGGAAGAUCUGCCCCCCACCUCUGAAUAUCCUCAGUGUAUCUUUGGCCGUAUUCCCAGCCAGAGCACUGAGCCCUUCCCCCAAACGUGACAUUUGCCCCACCCUCCCAAUACGUUUGUGUUCAUGGAGGACUAUGAUGUGGACAUGGAGGGAGAAGUAUUCGUGAGGAAGGCCACAGUGGGCCACUGGUGGGAGCACAGUGGAGAGGAUGACGACUGUGACAUACAACACCAGAGAGGAGGAAGAGGCUGCAUGGUAAACAGCCGCAGCUGGGCUGAGGAGCUCCAGGAUAUCUUUGCGCCACAGGCAGUAGACUGUUACAGUGGAGGGCGAACCAGACUCUCCAGUAUCUCU